GUUCCACUGGGACGUUGGUGACUGCCAAUAGUGUUUUUUGAUCUUGUCUGUAUGUAAAAGGGAAUCGAGAGACCUUGUGGCAGUAGACCGGGUAUGAACCCGGAAACUUAAAACGAGUGUCCACGAUACCCACCUGGUUUUCCAGGUCAUAAGCUGAGGCAAGACGGCGUUCUGGUGAACCU
rnacentral:other from 1 species